ACAGGAAAAACCACUGGCAUUAAGUGAAGCAAAAUGAAUUAGCUAAAAAGAGAGAAAAGAAUUAACAGAAAAAUAAACCUUAAUUCACUCCAGUGCUGGUAGGAUUUGGUAUUUAACUGUAAUCCUGUGUUUCAUUCUGUGUCAGGGACAAAUACCUGUUUUGUGUGUCCCCUGACAAUUCCUGCCAUUAGCUGAAAGCGUUUAUUCCCUGAGCUGUGUGCCAUCAGUUGAUGAUGCUGGACACUUACAGAAGAGAGGUUUUGGCAGGAAAACUCUUUAACAUUUGGAACAUUAUUAUGAAACAUAAUAUUGUUUUUUGUAGAUCAGUCCAAAGCUAUUCCGUGCAAAUUGUUGCAUUCUCUUCCUUGGUGUCAGCUGGAGCAGAGGGGGAAACCACAUCCCUAAAAGUAAGAAAACAGACCAAAAAUGCUUCAAUACCAAGGAAUAAACUCCCUAUUGGACUUUUUCUUGAUAGUUCUGUAAAGCUGCUGAAGACAGAAAUGGUACACACAGAUUUUUGGUGUCAGAUCAGUGCUUUGCAUUUAUGUGAUCGUUUACACCUGUGCAAAGUAAGUGUUUGGUAGCAUUUGACAGCUGAUUUAGUAAAGUUUGACACCUAUAUUACAAUGUUGAAAUGACUUUACAAUGUGCAAAGCGGUGGAAAAAGCUCUGAUUCUUUUCAUGGCUUUUUUCUUAUAGCUGAAUAUUGAAAUUCCAUUCCAAAGGAAAAAAAUUAUAAUUCCUCACAUCCUGACUGUAAUUCUUUAUUUUUUUUGGUAUGUUAUGUUCUGCUCAUACUAACUUGGGAGGAAAAAAAGAAGAAAGCAUACAAGGAAAGGAUAAAAGCAAUUAUGUUUAAUCCACAGCCUGGAUUCACAGGUGCUGACUCUUACACCAAACCAAACCCAGCUGAAAGGAGACACAGGGAAGUGAGAAUUCUGCCACUGGGAUGAGAAACCCUGCAGGACUAGGACCCCUACUUUCUGGAAGCUGUUCCUGAUGCAAUGUAUGGCUGCAAAGGGUUUUUCACAUUCUCUUCUCUAGAUUCGUGACCAUGGACAGGUGGUUCUGGGCCAAACUCAGUCAUGUGGUGGCUUGUAAAGGACUGAGGUGUCUAAUUGCUGCACCCCUGCACUGUCACUGCCAGCUUGUGGUGCUGUGGGAAUCCCUGAGAGCAGAGCAGGAGAGAAAGAUGCCUGAACUGUGAUCAGGACAGGAACAGCCUGGGAGAAGCUCUGUGCUGGUGUUUCUCUGUAGCCCAGGAUCCAAACUGGAGUUACUGGAGCGGGCAGUGGAGGCGAGAGCAGAGCAGAGCUGCAAACUCUGUCCAUGCCAAGCUGUGCCUGGGCAGGGACUCUUCCCACAUCAGAGCUGCUGCUGUGAGCAAUUCCUGUACAAAAUUCACACUGUGGUCACUGACAGCCUCCUCACACCAAAGCUUUUCAGAAAUAUAAUUUUAUCCACCAGAUACAGCUAUGAGCAGUCCCACUGGUGCAGUGCAAGCACCUGGACCAUAUUAUUUGAAGAAAAUAACUUUGGGAAUCCUGUUUCCACUCACGCUGCUUCUGUUUGGCUGAGCAGGGGAUAAGUGUGUCCUCACACUGGAGGAAGAACCAUUUUUCUUCUCUUUAUUGCCCUGGUCUCUAGAUCUCAAAUUAUCUGAAAUACUGUCUUAGUUAAGUUCAUAUUGCUCUGCCCUUCAGGUCAUAGCAGAUGCCAGGACCAGAAUAUUCUCUAAAACACUGGCAGCUGUUUGUUUGAGUGGACUUUUAUAGGUCUGAAGCCUCAUUAGCUGUUUUCAUGACCUGAAUACUAAUUUAGCAGUGUGCUUUUUAGGCUCUGGGUCUGAACACUCAGAAAAUUCCAAUUAAUUUCAAUCUAUAGAUACUAGUUAUCCUUACUUAAAACAAUAUGAAUUAGUUUAAUAAAUACCUUUUAUGCCAAUAGAAAUUCUAUGUAAGUAUAGCAGCUGAUUAACAGAAUCCCUGUAAUAAAGUAUUUUAUGUCAAGAUGUCCCACGUACAGGAAAAAAUAAAUUGUUGGGUCAAGUGGCAAGUGAAAGAUAUUCAGGAUUGGUAACACCUCAUUAAAAACCAUUUCAACUGCCCUAAGGCAAGAUGUUAAUACACAGUAAUUGUCUGCCCAGAGUGAAUCUUUUUGCAGUUACAUGAAUAAUGCAAAGUAACUAAAUAUGCUUGUUUAUGUAUUUAACAUAUUCACUAUAACUUCAAAGCUAAAGACUCAUUUUUUUUAGUGUUUUAUGCUACAAUCACAAGUUCACAAAUAGGAGAAAGAAGGAUAAAAACACCCCCUUCUACAACUGCAAACUUCACUUGCAGAAAACAAAGUAUGAAAAUAAUUUAAUUAGGGUAUCUGUGAAUCCCAUGGAAUUAGUAGUGCUGCUACAUCUGCACUUAUCUUGUUGCUCCAAUAAAAAUGUAAAUAAAUAAUAGAACACCAUUAAUUGUAAUUUAAACAGUGUAAGUGAUGCCUAUUGCUGCAUAGAAAAUUACAGAAUGUUUUCCAACUGCCUUUGUGAAAUUGCGUAUGUGUUUUUAGCAUUUUAGCAAAGAAUAGCUGUAAGUAGUGGGACAAAAAUUCCAGUAAAUCUCAAGUACCCUCGCAAACAGAACACAAUCUGCAUCUUCAAUCUGCCUGUAGAAAAGGAAUUUGAGAUUUAUCCAUCU